UUCCACACAGAUGCUCUAUGAG
rnacentral:siRNA from 1 species